rnacentral:lncRNA from 1 species
AUUCACAGUGCGCCUGCAGGCCGUCCCUAAUUUUCCCUGAAUUUUUCCCGGGAAACUGAAACACACUAACAGUACCUGCACGUGUUCCAAAAAAAAUCCAAAUUAGGCCCAGGGCCUCCUUCGGCCCAAAUCGCAACUCCGGCACGGCGGCUCCGCCGUGCUCCGGCGACGGCGCCGCCGCGGGCGGCGGCGAGUCGCCUCGGGUUGACUGUUUUCGGCCGUUUUCGGCCGAAUUCGGCCACACUCGCAUUGGUCCUUGUCAGAAAACAACCCUAGGGCCCUCGGGGGGCCAAAAAAUCACGGAAAAGCGGAGCUUACC